CGCGUAGGCGGCCUUAGCAGUCAGGCGUGAAAGCCCCGGGCUCAACCUGGGAAUUGCGCUUGAUACUCUGAGGCUUGAGUUCGGGAGAGGAGAGUGGAAUUCCCAGUGUAGAGGUGAAAUUCGUAGAUAUUGGGAAGAACACCGGUGGCGAAGGCGGCUCUCUGGACCGAUACUGACGCUGAGGCGCGAAAGCGUGGGGAGCAAACAGGAUUAGAUACCCUGGUAGUCCACGCUGUAAACGAUGUGUGCUAGACGUUGGGGGACGUAGUCUCUCAGUGUCGCCGCAAACGCAUUAAGCACACCGCCUGGGGAGUACGGCCGCAAGGUUAAA
rnacentral:rRNA from 1 species